GACCCUUCUUAAGCCGAGGGUCACCUAGCCAACUGACGUUGUUAGUGAAUAUUUUGUUCACACUAUAUAUAGGCCAAUCGCACCUUUGCGGUUGGCCAUUUUUU
rnacentral:sRNA from 1 species